UACCGGGCACGCAGGAGG
rnacentral:misc_RNA from 1 species